rnacentral:lncRNA from 1 species
GAACAAAAGAAUGGCUGAUAGCAACGACAGGAUCAUGGUCAGGGUGUUUUCAAAGCCUUUGUGAAUGGACUGAAGGUGACAAUUGCUCCCGGAAUGACUGGAUUUGGGACAUGGAAGUCUAUCUUCACCAUGCACCGUUAAGUUUUUCUUGGGCAGGGGCACGGGUGAAAUUUGGUGCCGUGACUCGGAUAGGGGGACCUCCCUUGGGAGAUCAAUCCCCUAUCCUCCUGCAUUUUGCUCCAUGAGAAAGAUCCAACUACCACCUCAGGUCCUCAGACCCACCAGCCCAAGGAACAUCUCACCAAUUUUAAAUCAGGUAAGCGGCCUCUUCUUACUCUCUUCUGCAACCUCUCUCACUAUCCCUCAACCACUUUCUCCUUUCAAUCUUGGCGCCACACUUCAAUCUCUCCCUUCUCUUAAUUUCAAUUCCUUUCAUUUUCUAGUAGAGACAAAGGAGACACGUUUUAUCCGUGGACCCAAAACUCCGGCGCUGGUCAUGGACUCAGGAAGGCAGCCUUCCUUUGGUGUUUAAUCAUUGCAGGGACACCUCUCUGAUUAUUCACCCACAUUUCAGAGGUGUCUGACCACGCAGGGACGCCUGCCUUGGUCUUUCACCCUUAGGGGCACGUCCUGCUUUUCUGGGGGAGGAGCAAGAACCCCAACACCUUCUCUCCCUGUCUCUACCCCUUCUCUGCUUUUCUGGGGGGCAAGAAUCCCCCGAUCCCUUAUUUCCACACCCCAACCUCUUAUCUCUGUGCCCCGAUCCCUUAUUUCUGUGCCCCAACCUCUUAUCUCUGCGCCCUACCCCCUUAUUUCCAUGCCCAGACCCCUUCUCUGCUUUUCUGGGGGGCAAGAACCCCCCACCCCUUCUCUCCUUGUCUUUACUCUCUCUUUUCUCUGGGCUUGCCUCCUUCACUAUGGGCAAGCUUCCGCCCUCCAUUCCCCCUUCUUCUCCCUUAGCCUGCGUUCUUAAAAACCUAAAAUCUCUUCAACUCAUACCUGACCUAAAACCUAAAUGCCUAUGUUCUUCUGCAAUGCCACUUGACCACAAUACAAACUCGACAGUGGUUCCAAAUAGCCAGAAAAUGGCACUUUCAAUUCUUCCAUCCUACAAGAUCUAAAUAAUUCUUGUCGUAAAAUGGGCAAGUGGUCUGAGGUGCCUGACCUCCAGGCAUUCUUUUACACAUCAGUCCCUCCCUACUUUCUGUUCCCAAUGCGAUUCAUCCCAAAUCUUCCUUCUUUCCCUCCUGCCUGUCCCCUCAGUCCCAACCCCAAGCAUCACUGAGUCUUUCUAAUCUUCCUUCUCUACAGACCCAUCUGACCUCUCCCCUCCUCGCCAGGCCAAGCUAGGUCCCAAUUCUUCCUCAACCUCCGUUCCUCCACCUGGUACCACUUACAGUUUUGUUCCAUGACUAGCCCUCCCCCACUUGCCCAGCAAUUUCCUCUUAAAAAGGUGGCUGAAGCUAAAGGCAUAGUCAAGGUUAAUGCUCCUUUUUCUUUAUCCAAAUCAGAUAGCGUUCACUCGCGUCCAUGUGAAGAGACCAC